ACUUGCCUACGGGGCGCAGCAGUGGGGGAUAUUGCACAAUGGGGGAAACCCUGAUGCAGCGACGCCGCGUGAGUGAAGAAGUAAUUCGUUACGUAAAGCUCUAUCAGCAGGGAAGAAAAUGACGGUACCUGACUAAGAAGCCCCGGCUAACUACGUGCCAGCAGCCGCGGUAAUACGUAGGGGGCAAGCGUUAUCCGGAUUUAUUGGGUUUAAAGGGUGCGUAGGCGGAAUGCCAAGUCAGCAGUAAACUCGCGGGGCUCAACCUCGCUCCGCGGUUGAAACUGGCGUUCU
rnacentral:rRNA from 1 species